CGCACGCAGCAUUGUGAGAGCGAUCCCAACCGUGCCUGCCUGCGUCGUGCGUCCGAUUGCCGGCAAAAGAAAGAGGCGAGGCAACUCCAAGCAUCUGCAGCGGCGCUCCUGGCUGGCCGCCUUUCCCCGGCUGACGUCAGCUGCUCCACCGCCGCCGCCGCGUCAAAAUGCUGCUCUCGGGAGGGGUGAACGCGUACAACGGCUACGGGAGCAAAGGCAUCAAGAAGCAGACGUACACGUCUCCCUCCAUUCAACAGAUGGCUCCGCCUCCGAGUCCCAACGGCGGCCAUCAUGGCGGGGAGCAGCUGAGCAAAACCAACCUGUACAUCCGUGGCCUUCACCCCGGAACCGCAGACCAGGAUCUGGUCAAACUCUGCCAGCCCUAUGGGAAAAUAGUCUCCACAAAAGCCAUUCUGGACAAAAUAACCACGAUGUGCAAAGGCUACGGCUUUGUCGACUUUGACAGCCCAGCCUCGGCUGAGAAGGCAGUGACGGCGCUCAAGAAGCUGGGCGUGCAGGCGCAGAUGGCCAAGCAACAGGAGCAGGACCCCACCAAUUUGUACAUCUCCAACCUGCCGCUCUCCAUUGACGAGCUGGAGCUGGAGAACAUGCUGAAGCCCUUCAGCCAGGCCAUUUCCACGCGCAUCCUGCGCGACGCACGCGGAAUCAGCCGAGGAGUGGGCUUUGCCAGGAUGGAGUCAACAGAGAAAUGCGAGGCCAUCAUCCAGCAUUUCAAUGGAAAAUAUCUCAAGACUCCACCCGGAGUUUUAGUUCCACCGAAGCCUUUAUUGUGUAAAUUUGCUGAUGGAGGCCAGAAGAAGCGCCAGAGUCAAGGAAAGUACCUGCAAAAUGGACGAAGCUGGACCAGAGAUGGAGACACUGGCAGACUGACCCUCACCUACGACCCCGGCGCAGCCUUAGCCAACGGGUCAGUAUGCAGCGGCGUGGGCACGCUGCCCAAAGGUGGUCUGAAAGUCUGUCUCUGCAGGUUCUACAGCAUGGCUUCCAACCGGAUGGUCGGGCCCGCCUCGCUUCCUCCGUACAUGCAUUCGCCCGUGUCCGCCUACCAGGUGCACAACCCGUCGUGGCUCCACCAGCCGUCGUACAUCGUGGCGCCCUCGGGGGCCGUCCUGACGCCGGGGAUGGAGCACGCCGUGUCUAUCCAGCCCACGUCCAUGAUGGGACCCCUGGCCCAGCAGCUCGGCCACCUCUCCUUGGGCGGAAGCAGCACAGUCAGUCAUCUGCACACUUCAAAAUGUUUUGGUGAAAAUCAGGAGAACUGCAACGAUGAGCACACCAACUGGGUUUUAUCAUGCAAUCCAUCCAUCUUCUGAAAAAAUGUCUGAAGACUAUUGCACCUCUUUUCCAGUACGCAUCUCUGCAGGGGCCGUACGUCACCCAGUACCCGCAAGUGCCUCCCACCAACAUCUCAGUUGAGGAAAGCGCCGUCCAGCAGUCCGUCGCCAUCGAGACGUCCACUGAACCCACGAGCUUCUCCUACCAGCGUAACAAGUGAAGACAAGUUCCGAUCUCUCGUCUGACAAGCCUGGACCGUGACGCAGAAAGAACGCUCUUCUUUUUUUUGGAGCUCCUCUGGUCUGGCAAAGACGGCGAUGGACUGAAGUGGGGAACAUUAUUUUGACUGACAUGUUUUGCUUUGUGGAGCUAUGAUUUUUCUUGCUUCUUUUUAUGGUACAUCUUUUUGUUUUGCUAUGAUUCUUGAUCUCACUCACAAUGGUGACAGGCAACCAACUCCUCCAACUUGUCACAGCGGCAGUUUCGUCGGUUGUGAAAGUUUGACAGAAGAGUCUUUUUUUUUUUUUUCUUGACAACGCUUUUGACAAUCACACAAUUCCUCUUGAGUGAAGAGCAACAUGGAUUGAAAUCAUUCCGGUGAAUGUGGUUGGCGUGCACGCACGCGGGCGCCGCACUUCUUUGAAUAUUCCAACAAGUCACCAGUGCAUUUUCUACUUUUCCAAAGAAACAAAAAAAAGGGCUGACACCCCGUGCGCGAUCUUCAACACGUCAAACUACUUCAAAAUAUGGACAGCAAGUAAAAUGCAGAGCAGUUGGCAUACUUGCAGGCUGGUGUUUCUCUCCGCAAGUACUUUUUGUUUGACGUGUGCUGUUUUUGUAUUAUUUAAAUGUUUUGUUUCAGAUUGUUCCUCGUUUGAUUUUUGAUAUCGUGUUGUGUGCAUCCAUCCUUUUGUCGUAUUUCCACGCCAUAUUUUAUUGGACGUUCUGUGCUCAUUCAAUUUUUUUUUGUACAAACUUUUUGAGCGCGAGUCCUGAUCUGGAAGCUCCGUUUUGGUUUUGAGGCUACAUUUGCACCCCAUUUCCAGCAGCCCCGUUUGUAAGGUGCUAUUGCGUCACGCCAGGUUUGAUGACAUCAUCAUUCCAGGGCUGCUGGGAACGAGCGCAAUGGUAGCGUUGAACUUUAGCUGCGACAAACAUAGCUCAUCUGCGACAGAUUGUUUUUUUACGGGGCAACGAGUUGCUUAAAUAGGCUGCUCACAGCUGGUACUGUGUCAAUACGUCCUCCGUCCAAACAUUGCUCAUCAAGUCCGAGGUCUGAUCUAUGCAAUUAUGUUCUUAUCCUGACAAUGGCAAUAAUAUAUUUCUGAGAUACGUGACCUCGAAAUGUUGAGGGGGCGGCUCACUGGGACUCAUGAAUGAUUGCUGCUAAUUUGGGAUGACUCCGCUUUUUUUGGAAAUGUACACCAUACCAAAUUUUGGGCCAGUCAUGAUGUCGCUCUUUACGUCCGUCACUUGGGAGAACAGCCACAGCUUUGGAUUUGAAAAUAAAUAAGUGUUGACCUCCAUCAAGGAGGCAGAUGUUUUCAA